rfam:Dichanthelium oligosanthes cultivar Kellogg 1175 unplaced genomic scaffold Do_version_2_scaffold1349, whole genome shotgun sequence.
UUGGGCACAAUGAGGAGUCAAUUUUGCUAAUGUAUCUCUGAGGCCAGAAGGUCAAUGACUCUUAUGUCCUUUUCAUUCUGAGUGCCCU